GGAGACCACGCGACUGGCCCGGCGGGAGCGCGCGGGCCGCGUUCUGCUCCGCCUUAGAGAGCAGAGAGAGAGCGUGAGCGUGCUCGAGUCCGGGGAGGGAGGCCGCGCGCGUGCCUGAUGCAAUUCACCAAGAAGAGACGCUCCUUAAAGGGGCAGCGGCACUAAGGAAGGAGAAGGCCGAACAGGAACAGCAGCUAGCCACGGGGCCUUUGCGAAGUGUUCAUGUUCCCGUGCGGCUUCCCCACCACGCACCGCCCGCCGCCGCCACCAUUCUAGCUCAUUCUAGCUUCGGAAGAAAGUAGAGCGUAUCGAUUGUUCAAGGCAAUUUAUCGUCCGCAUUAUCAAUGUGCCUUUCAAAAGACUUCUGCACCGAGGAGCUUGUAAUCUAAAUUUCAACAGUAUGGGAGGCAACUGAAGAAGGGAAUUGCAUGGAUCUGGAACGCAUUGAGGACCAGUCAAUACAUGAAGCAGGCAUGGACUGCUCACCACUUGUAUGCAGUACACAACAAAACAGAAUGUAGACAUGUGCUAGGAUCAUGCAACUUUGAAAUUUCAUGUGAAGCAGCCCUGAGGAUGCAGCCAAUCAGCCAAAAGACUAUAAAAUAUCGCAGUUUGCAAAUUAUUCAUAGAUUCUUCAUAAUGGUUUCUGAUUAAUCAAGUAGUAGAUUUAUAUUAUUUUUAAUAAAAGUAGUUCCAAAACUU